UCGCUCCUACUGAUUGAGUGAUCCGGUAAAUAAUUCAGACCACAGAUUUGCUCAGUUUCUGUCGAUUGCUGUGCAAAGUUUAAUGAACCUUAUCACUUAGAGGAAGGAG
rnacentral:rRNA from 1 species